GGUGAGAUAAGCAGGGUGUACCAACUGCAUAACACAGAAGAAAUGUCAUCUUCAGAAAUUGUGGCACAACUUUAGAGGGAUGAAUAUUCUAAGAAUCAUGCAUCCAGUCACAGAAAAAAGAGUUUUCUUCAACCACCUAAUAGGACCAGGGUUGCAAAGAAAUAUAUUCUAGUCAACUAACAUUAAUCCAAAUUGAUGAAUCCAUUUCCUCCAUUCUACUAUGUUUAAGAACACAUCUUCAUAUAAAGUUCUAGAGCUGCUUAAUAUUUUC
rnacentral:misc_RNA from 1 species